rnacentral:rRNA from 1 species
CAUGCUGAAUAUACCGGUUCUCGUUAGAUCACCGAAGUCAAGCAUCAUUGGGCGCGGUCAGUACUUGGGUGGGUGACCACCUGGGAACACCGUGUGCCGUU